CGGGUCUGCUCAUAAUAUGGAGAUGGAAGAUCACCCCAGACUGCCCCAGCUGAUGGAGGCCUGAGACAGAGCUGAGGGGUGCAGGGAGCAAAGAGGUUGCUCCACAGCUGCCUCUGUGACUUCAUCUCUGCGACUCUGGAUGCCCAGCAAGACCUCCUGGAGUUCACCUGCAGGACCUCUUCCCAUCCAUACUUUAAAUUGCUCCUGUCAUGUCCAGCUGACUGUCUUUUCUAGACUCUUCCAAGCAGAGUGCAUCCUCCAUGUUCUAUGAAGACAACAAAAGCAGCUAUAUUCCAUGUUUUGAUGAGCGCUCAUCUAAGAAGCUUGCUUCAAGAUGGUUUUGGACUGCUACUGUUCUGAUUGUUAGGAGGCUUUUCAAUUGUUCCUUUGAGUGUUGCCACUCAGCUGGCAAAUGCUCCAGCAAGCAUGGCUGGACAUUUUAAUUCUGCUGCCAGAAAUUACAUUCUUCUAUGAUAAUUCCAGCUGCAGUUGAUGUCCUAUUGCCAUUCCCUUGGCAAGUUACUCAGGAAAUUUGUAGUUGGUCAUCUUCAGGGUAGCUGCCUUCUCUAAAGUUUUCAAUGAUCAUUGCAGAUGUUCAUUUGUGCUUCUGCAAUACAUGGUACCAUUCCCAAGAAGCUAUCCUAUCACACACGGUAGAAUUUCUAACCAGCUUAGGCUGAUUCAGAGGGGAGGCUCCGUCUAAGAAUAUUUCAAAAUAGUCAGGAUCCAGCUGCAAGGACAGUACAAGUGCAACUUUUUAAAGUGGAAAGUUGCUUCUUCUUAUUCAAGCCUCACUGACAGCGUCUGAGUGGGAAUUAAGCAGUACACUGAUACUGUACAUGAUGAGCAUUGUGGCUGUGGGAUGAGAACGGUUAUAUAUCGGAUGAAUUUAAAAUGACAUAUCUGCAUGUAAAACAAGCGGCUCUUGUUAAAAGAAAGAAAUCCAUGAAGAGCUGUCCAUCUGAAGGCAGGUCGCCUAGCCUAUCCAUGACAGCAACACAAUUUUAAAUAGUCUGUGACAAUGUAUUUUAAAAUGUUUUGGGAAAGUUUUAAUAAAGAUUAUUUAUGCUUUU